CCCUCGAUAGCUCAGUUGGAAGAGCGUGGGACUGUAAUGGUUAAUUGUCAUCCCGAGGUCACUGGUUCGAUCCCGGUUUGAGGGA
rfam:Botryobasidium botryosum FD-172 SS1 unplaced genomic scaffold BOTBOscaffold_28, whole genome shotgun sequence.